rnacentral:rRNA from 1 species
AGUGAACGCUGGCGGUAGGCCUAACACAUGCAAGUCGAACGGCAGCACAGUAAGAGCUUGCUCUUACGGGUGGCGAGUGGCGGACGGGUGAGGAAUACAUCGGAAUCUACUUUUUCGUGGGGGAUAACGUAGGGAAACUUACGCUAAUACCGCAUACGACCUACGGGUGAAAGCAGGGGAUCUUCGGACCUUACGCGAUUGAAUGAGCCGAUGUCGGAUUAGCUAGUUGGCGGGGUAAAGGCCCACCAAGGCGACGAUCCGUAGCUGGUCUGAGAGGAUGAUCGGCCACACUGGAACUGAGACACGGUCCAGACUCCUACGGGAGGCAGCAGUGGGGAAUAUUGGACAAUGGGCGCAAGCCUGAUCCAGCCAUACCGCGUGGGUGAAGAAGGCCUUCGGGUUGUAAAGCCCUUUUGUUGGGAAAGAAAAGCAGCAGGUUAAUACCCCGCUGUUCUGACGGUACCCAAAGAAUAAGCACCGGCUAACUUCGUG